GCGAAUUUAUAAAGUGUAAUAUAAUUUUAGUUUAGGGCUAGGCAUAGUGGGGUAUCUAAUCCCAGUUUGUUU
rnacentral:tRNA from 1 species